GAUGAACGCUGGCGGCGUGCCUAAUACAUGCAAGUCGAGCGAACAGACGAGGAGCUUGCUCCUCUGACGUUAGCGGCGGACGGGUGAGUAACACGUGGAUAACCUACCUAUAAGACUGGGAUAACUACGGGAAACCGGCGCUAAUACCGGAGAAUAUAUUGAACCGCAUGGUUCAAUGGUGAAAGACGGCUUUGCUGUAACUUAUAGAUGGAUCCCGGCGGCAUGGGCUAGUUGGUAGGGUAACGGCUUACCAAGGCAACGAUGCGUAGCCGACGUGAGAGACGGGUAGGCCACAUUGGAAGGGGGCCACGGUCCAGGCUCCUACGGGAGGCAGCAGUAGGCUACGGUCGGCAAAGGGCGAAAGCCUGACGGAGCGAGGCCGAGCGUGUGGUGGAGGUGUUGGGAGCGUAAUGCUGUGUUAUGGGGGAAGAACCGAUGUGUCAGUAGAUGAGGCGGGCUUGACGGUACCGAGUCAGAAAGCACCGGCUAACUACGUG
rnacentral:rRNA from 1 species